UGCCUAUGAUGAAUAAAAAUGUAUAAGAGUAGUGGACAGGAGUGAUUUCUGAUAAUUUUUACUCUGAGGCA
rfam:Danio rerio chromosome 8, GRCz11 reference primary assembly.